GAUGAACGCUGGCGGCGUGCCUAAUACAUGCAAGUCGAGCGAACGGACGAGAAGCUUGCUUCUCUGAUGUUAGCGGCGGACGGGUGAGUAACACGUGGAUAACCUACCUAUAAGACUGGGAUAACUUCGGGAAACCGGAGCUAAUACCGGAUAAUAUUUUGAACCGCAUGGUUCAAAAGUGAAAGACGGUCUUGCUGUCACUUAUAGAUGGAUCCGCGCUGCAUUAGAUAGUUGGUAAGGUAACGGCUUACCAAGGCAACGAUGCAUAGCCGACCUGAGAGGGUGAUCGGCCACAUGGGAACUGAGACACGGUCAAGACUCCUGCGGGAGGCAGCAGUAGGGAAUCUGCCGCAAUGGGGGAAAGCCUGACGGAGCAACGCCGCGUGAGUGAUGAAGGUCUUCGGAUCGUAAAACUCUGUUAUUAGGGAAGAACAUAUGUCUAAGUAACUGUGCACAUCGUGACGGUACCUAAUCAGAAAGCCACGGCUAACUACGUG
rnacentral:rRNA from 1 species